rnacentral:rRNA from 1 species
GACGAACGCUGGCGGCGUGCUUAACACAUGCAAGUCGAGCGGUAAGGCCCUUUCGGGGGUACACGAGCGGCGAACGGGUGAGUAACACGUGGGUGACCUGCCCUCAGCUCUGGGAUAAGCCUGGGAAACCGGGUCUAAUACCGGAUAUGACUCCAUGACGCAUGUUGUGGGGUGGAAAGCCUUGUGCGGCUGAGGAUGGGCCCGCGGCCUAUCAGCUUGUUGGUGGGGUGAGGCCUACCAAGGCGACGACGGGUAGCCGGCCUGAGAGGGCGACCGGCCACACUGGGACUGAGACACGGCCCAGACUCCUACGGGAGGCAGCAGUGGGGAAUCUUGCGCAAUGGGCGAAAGCCUGACGCAGCGACGCCGCGUGAGGGAUGACGGCCUGGUUGUAACGUACUUCUACGCUCCGACGAACGACGAGAGUGACGGUAGGAG